AACGUACUGCAGAGGCAUUAGUAGAUGCAUUUCCAUUGUUAAAAUCAAAAAGAUUCCCACAUGGGCAUGAAAGCUUCUAUGAUAAGACCACAGGAAUAAGCUUUAUAGAAUAGGCCUGAAAACGCUUAGGAAGUCCAUCAAAGAAAAAAAAGGAUUAGCCAAAACUUCAAAAAUCUGCAGAAUAGAACCAUCUCUUGAAACAGAACGUUUGACUAAAGAGGAUUUAGAAGAAAAGAACCCAAUAGACAGGCGAUUUCAGAUAUAUUGUCUGAAACAAUGGCUGACAGACAAACUGAAAUAAGAGAUUCAGGCAUGACCAUAACAGAUGUUUUAGAGAGAUAUCCCAGGCUACAAGAUUAUAGAGGAGAUAUGAUUGAUGCAGAAUUUUUACGCAUGCAUCCCAAUUCAGACACUUUCUUGGGAAAGUUUUCAUCUUUUUAUGUCCCAAGAAUUU